rnacentral:rRNA from 1 species
GGAACACCAGUGGCGAAGGCGGCCUCCUGGGCUGUUCCUGACGCUGAAGGCGAAAGCUAGGGUAGCGAACGGGAUUAGAAACCCCGGUAGUCCUAGCUGUAAACGAUGGAUGCUAGAUGUAGGGGGUAUAGAUUCCCUCUGUGUCGCAGUUAACGCGUUAAGCAUCCCGCCUGGGGAGUACGGUCGCAAGGCUAAAACUCAAACGAAUUGACGGGGGCCCGCACAAGCAGCGGAGCGUGUGGUUUAAUUCGAUGCUACACGAAGAACCUUACCUGGGCUUGACAUGUAUGUGGUAGUGAAGUGAAAGCGGAUCGACCCUUCGGGGAGCAUACACAGGUGCUGCAUGGCUGUCGUCAGCUCGUGCCGUGAGGUGUCGGGUUAAGUCCCGUAACGAGCGCAACCCCUGUCCUUAGUUACAAGUGUCUAGGGAGACUGCCGGCGGUAAGCCGGAGGAAGGUGGGGAUGACGUCAAGUCAGCAUGGCCUUUAUGUCCAGGGCUACACACACGCUACGAUGGCCGGUACAAUGGGUUGCCAAACCGUGAGGUGGAGCCAAUCCCGUAAAGCCGGUCUCAGUUCGAAUUGUAGACUGCAACUCGUCUACAUGAAGUCGGAGUUGCUAGUAAUCGCGGAUCAGCAUGCCGCGGUGAUAUGUUCCCGGGCCUUGUACACACCGCCCGUCACGUCAUGGAAGCUGGCAACACCUGAAGCCGGUGAGCCAACCCGAAAGGGAGGUAGCUGUCGAAGGUGGGGCUGGUGACUGGGACGAAGUCGUAGCGAG